rnacentral:rRNA from 1 species
GAACUGAAGAGUUUGAUCCUGGCUCAGAUUGAACGCUGGCGGAAUGCUUUACACAUGCAAGUCGAACGGCAGCACGGGAGCUUGCUCCUGGUGGCGAGUGGCGAACGGGUGAGUAAUGCGUCGGAACGUACCGAGUAAUGGGGGAUAACGCAGCGAAAGGUGUGCUAAUACCGCAUACGCCCUGAGGGGGAAAGUGGGGGAUCGCAAGACCUCACGUUAUUCGAGCGGCCGACGUCUGAUUAGCUAGUUGGUGAGGUAAUGGCUCACCAAGGCGACGAUCAGUAGCGGGUCUGAGAGGAUGAUCCGCCACACUGGAACUGAGACACGGUCCAGACUCCUACGGGAGGCAGCAGUGGGGAA